GUGGGGUAAUGGCCUACCAAGGCGACGACGGGUAGCCGGCCUGAGAGGGUGACCGGCCACACUGGGACUGAGACACGGCCCAGACUCCUACGGGAGGCAGCAGUGGGGAAUAUUGGACAAUGGGCGAAAGCCUGAUCCAGCAACGCCGCGUGAGGGAUGACGGCCUUCGGGUUGUAAACCUCUUUCAGCAGGGACGAAGUGCAAGUGACGGUACCUGCAGAAGAAGCACCGGCUAACUACGUGCCAGCAGCCGCGGUAAUACGUAGGGUGCGAGCGUUGUCCGGAAUUAUUGGGCGUAAAGAGCUCGUAGGCGGUCUGUCGCGUCGGUCGUGAAAACUUGGGGCUUAACCCUGAGCUUGCGGUCGAUACGGGCAUGACUGGAGUUCGGCAGGGGAGACUGGAAUUCCUGGUGUAGCGGUGAAAUGCGCAGAUAUCAGGAGGAACACCGGUGGCGAAGGCGGGUCUCUGGGCCGAUACUGACGCUGAGGAGCGAAAGCGUGGGGAGCGAACAGGAUUAGAUACCCUGGUAGUCCACGCCGUAAACGGUGGGCGCUAGGUGUGGGGGCCAUUCCACGGUCUCUGUGCCGCAGCUAACGCAUUAAGCG
rnacentral:rRNA from 1 species